UACGGGAGGCAGCAGUGGGGAAUAUUGCACAAUGGGCGCAAGCCUGAUGCAGCCAUGCCGCGUGUAUGAAGAAGGCCUUCGGGUUGUAAAGUACUUUCAGUCGUGAGGAAGGUGUUAAGGUUAAUAACCUUAGCAAUUGACGUUAGCGACAGAAGAAGCACCGGCUAACUCCGUGCCAGCAGCCGCGGUAAUACGGAGGGUGCGAGCGUUAAUCGGAAUUACUGGGCGUUAAAGGGCACGCAGGCGGUUAAUUAAGUUGGAUGUGAAAUCCCCGGGCUUAACCUGGGAAUGGCAUUCAAGACUGGUUAGCUAGAGUCUUGUAGAGGGGGUAGAAUUCCAUGUGUAGCGGUGAAAUGCGUAGAGAUGUGGAGGAAUACCGGUGGCGAAGGCGGCCCCUGGACAAAGACUGACGCUCAUGUGCGAAAGCGUGGGGAGCAAAC
rnacentral:rRNA from 1 species